rnacentral:lncRNA from 10 species
ACUGUGUGCUUUCUCCGACAGGAUGAGCUCGCUGCAUCGGGGCUGCCGAGCUGCGAUGCCGCCGUCAACCUGGCCGGAGAGAACAUCCUCAACCCUCUCCGAAGAUGGAAUGAAACCUUCCAAAAAGAGGUAAUCGGCAGCCGCCUAGAGACCACCCAAUUGCUGGCUAAAGCCAUCACCAAAGCCCCACAACCCCCCAAGGCCUGGGUCUUAGUCACAGGUGUAGGUACGCCCCCCAAAUCACCAGCCCCUUAUAUUCGCCAGGGGAACGGGGUAACUCAGACCUCUGUAGCUAUGCACACACCAGAGCACUGGUCUUUUCCAGGCAAAAUGACUUCCUAGGCCCUUGAUCCAUGCAUGUUUCUCCUAACCUUUGUGUACUUUCACUAAGAAAUUGAGACCCUGAAAAAACAGUGGGGAGUGGCAUCACUCAAUGCCAGGGAAAAGUCCACCUAUCCCAAAGUCCCUUACUUCUCACACCAUAGUUCUUUAGGAACAGAGUUCCUGGUCACCUUUGGGACCAAGUAAUUGCAAACAAUUAUACACACCAGCCACUAUUUGAAGUGUUUUAUGCUUAUUAUCAUUUAUUCCUUACAACAACCCUAUGA